CGCGUAGGCGGUCGAUCAAGUCUGGGGUGAAAUCUUUCGGCUUAACCGGAAAAGUGCCUUGGAUACUGGUCGGCUGGAGGGAGGUAGGGGCAGCUGGAACUUCCGGUGGAGCGGUGAAAUGCGUUGAUAUCGGAAGGAACGCCGGUGGCGAAAGCGAGCUGCUGGACCUCUUCUGACGCUGAUGCGCGAAAGCUAGGGGAGCAAACG
rnacentral:rRNA from 1 species